GUAAUCGCGGAUCAGCAUGCCGCGGUGAAUACGUUCCCGGGCCUUGUACACACCGCCCGUCACACCAUGGGAGUUUGUAACACCCGAAGUCAGUAGUCUAACCGCAAGGAGGACGCUGCCGAAGGUGGGAUAAGCGACUGGGGUGAAGUCGUAACAAGGUAUC
rnacentral:rRNA from 1 species